rnacentral:rRNA from 1 species
AGCGAACGCUGGCGACAGGCCUAACACAUGCAAGUCGAACGAACCUUUCGGGGUUAGUGGCGGACGGGUGAGUAACACGUGGGAACGUGCCUUUAGGUUCGGAAUAACUCAGGGAAACUUGUGCUAAUACCGAAUGUGCCCUUCGGGGGAAAGAUUUAUCGCCUUUAGAGCGGCCCGCGUCUGAUUAGCUAGUUGGUUGAGGUAAUGGCUCACCAAGGCGACGAUCAGUAGCUGGUCUGAGAGGAUGAUCAGCCACAUUGGGACUGAGACACGGCCCAAACUCCUACGGGAGGCAGCAGUGGGGAAUCUUGCGCAAUGGGCGAAAGCCUGACGCAGCCAUGCCGCGUGAAUGAUGAAGGCCUUAGGAUUGUAAAAUUCUUUCACCGGGGACGAUAAUGACGGUACCCGGAGAAGAAGCCCCGGCUAACUUCGUG